GGGUGAGAGGUGAUGCGUAGCCGAUUGAGGCGAAGAGAGUGAUCCCAUGCUGUCGAGAAAAGCCUCUAGCGAGUGCUGUUGCGGCCCGUACCCCAAACCGACACAGGUGGUCAGGUAGAGAAUACCGAGGCGAUCGAGCGAACUGUGGUUAAGGAAUUCGGCAAAAUACCUCCGUAACUUCGGGAGAAGGAGGGCCGGUUGUCUUGAGGCUCCUUGCGGGCUAGGGACGGCCGGUCGCAGAGACCAGGCCCAAGCGACUGUUUACUAAAAACACAGGUCCGUGCGAAGUCGCAAGACGAUGUAUACGGACUGACGCCUGCCCGGUGCUGGAACGUUAAGAGGACCUGUUAGCUCUUCGGGGCGAAGCGGAGAAUUUAAGCGCCAGUAAACGGCGGUGGUAACUAUAACCAUCCUAAGGUAGCGAAAUUCCUUGUCGGGUAAGUUCCGACCUGCACGAAUGGCGUAACGACUUGGGCGCUGUCUCGACCACAGACUCGGCGAAAUUGCACUACGAGUAAAGAUGCUCGUUACGCGCGGCAGGACGGAAAGACCCCGGGACCUUUACUAUAGCUUGGUAUUGAUGCUUGGUUCGGCUUGUGUAGGAUAGGUGGGAGACUGUGAAGCUAUCACGCCAGUGGUGGUGGAGUCGUUGUUGAAAUACCACUCUGGUCGAAUUGGGUGUCUUAACCUCGGGCCAUGAUCUGGUUCAGGGACAGUGCCUGGUGGGUAGUUUAACUGGGGCGGUUGCCUCCCAAAGAGUAACGGAGGCGCCCAAAGGUUCCCUCAGCCUGGUUGGCAAUCAGGUGUUGAGUGUAAGUGCACAAGGGAGCUUGACUGUGAGACUGACGGGUCGAGCAGGGACGAAAGUCGGGACUAGUGAUCCGGCACCACCUUGUGGAAGGGGUGUCGCUCAACGGAUAAAAGGUACCCCGGGGAUAACAGGCUGAUCUUGCCCAAGAGUCCAUAUCGACGGCAUGGUUUGGCACCUCGAUGUCGGCUCGUCGCAUCCUGGGGCUGGAGUAGGUCCCAAGGGUUGGGCUGUUCGCCCAUUAAAGCGGUACGCGAGCUGGGUUUAGAACGUCGUGAGACAGUUCGGUCCCUAUCCGCCGCGCGCGUUGGAGACUUGAGGAAGGCUGUCCCUAGUACGAGAGGACCGGGACGGACGAACCUCUGGUGUGCCAGUUGUCCCGCCAGGGGCACGGCUGGUUGGCUAUGUUCGGGAGGGAUAACCGCUGAAGGCAUCUAAGCGGGAAGCCUGUUCCAAGAUGAGGUCUCCCACCACCUUCGAGUGGGUAAGGCUCCCAGUAGAUGACUGGGUUGAUAGGCCGGAGAUGGAAGCCCUGUGAGGGGUGGAGUUGACCGGUACUAAUAGGCCGAGGGCUUGCCAC
rnacentral:rRNA from 1 species